GGUGCUGUAGGCAAAUUGGUAAAGCCACCUGUCUUUCAAGCAGGAGAAUGCGGGUUCAAGUCCCGUCAGCACUG
rnacentral:tRNA from 1 species